AAUCAACACAGUGGAGGCGAGAAGUCUGGCCUUGCGCCGGCCGGGGCAGCUUUUCGCCAAGGCUCCCGUGGGAUGGGAUAGCUUGUUCUCUGGGCUGCAGGAACCAAAACAUUAGACCACCCUUUCUGUGACCUUGGGCAUGCCGCCCUCGGUUCCGAGCCACUAGUCUUUCUUUCGGGGAAAAUGAAAAGGGGUCAAGAUUUGGACCAGAUGACACCCAAUGUCCCAUUCAACGGUCGCAUUCUGUCAUCCACAGGAAUUAGUCCUGUAUCCGAAACAUUCUCUGGUAGUCCAAAGCUGUGAGCAAAUAAUAAGAAAAAAUGUGCAAAACGUUUUUUAGUACAGUUAGCAAAUAGUGUACUCAGUUGUUGAAGGAAAUGGGAUGAAGCCUAUCAGAUUUCAACAAACUUAUUUACCUCUUGAGAAAGCUGCUCUCUUUUCUGUUGUCCUUCUGUGUCUCUCUUUCAAAGAUCAAGUCUCACUGCGAUGCUGAUAUGUUUUUAGCACUUCUCCAGCAUUUCUUAACCUAACAGCAGGUUUCAGGCACAGGCCUGCAGCAAGCAGCCAUAUCCAACUAAAAUUCCACUACUAUAUGUUUUUAUUUGCAUUACAUUUAUCAGGGAGCUUUCUAUUUAUGGCAAGGAAACUGAUUUUAAAUUUAAAUCAGUGCUAUACCUCAAGAGCUAGAUUUUGCAUUUUUAAGUGAAAAAGUAAGCUAUCAAAUAGAACAGGUGGAAUUUGGAUAUGGUGGGGCGGGGGGGUAGGCAGAGCAGGGGAGAGGAACAUCGUGAUAGUGGUACUCAAAUUACUAAGUUUUAGAAAACACUAUCACGGGGCCUUUCAGGAGCCUGGAGACAGAUGGAGGGGAAGACAGAAGAGAGAAUAAGGAGAAGAAUGGUUUCAUUUGGAAGGACACUGACUAAGGAAAAACAGAGAAAAGGAUGAAACCCAAGCCAACUCUGCAACUCUAUUAAAAACACCAAGACUUCAAUAUGAACCUGGCAUGGUGGGCACAGUUGGGCACUGCAGGCGGCUUGCCUCCAGCAGAAGGAAUACUGCUACUCAGCUCUAGAUGAUUGCCCUGAAGAAAUUCAUGCCCACUGAAUCUCCUUAAAGGGAGGCAGUGCAGUCUUCAUGGCUAGAGCUUCAGCAGCUAUCUAGAACCAUAUGGUGGAAGCCACUUACUGAGAACUGUGAAACAAGAGCCUGGGUCCCUGACAUAUGAAGCCACCAUACCUACCUUAAAGUGUCUUUCACUUGAGGGAAAAACACAUCUUUCUUAGAGAUUUGAAUUUUAAUGUCCCAGAAAUAUAAAGAAGAUGGCAUUAAAAUGUCCUAUAUGUUGGCAGUCCUACCCUGAAGACUUUUUUUGCUUAUCUUUUGUUCUAAGCUACAGUCUUCGCAGAGACUAAAUUAGUGACUGGACAACAGAAGAAAAUAGACCAUCCUGGCUAAAAUGGUGAAACCCCAUCUCUACUAAAAACACAAAAAAUUAGCUGGGCAUGUUAGCGGGUGCCUGUAGUCCGAGCUACUCGGGAGGCUGAGGCAGGAGAAUGGCGUGAACCUGGGAGGCGGAGCUUGCAGUGAGCUGAGAUCGCGCCACUGCACUCUAGCCUGGGGGAUAGAGUGAGACUCCGUCUC
rnacentral:antisense_RNA from 1 species